rnacentral:ncRNA from 2 species
GAACGUUGGGUCUCCCAGGGAGGCCGCAGUCAGACCCAGGCCAUGCAACGGGGGCCUGGG